rnacentral:rRNA from 1 species
UGGGGAAUUUUGGACAAUGGGCGAAAGCCUGAUCCAGCAAUGCCGCGUGUGUGAAGAAGGCCUUCGGGUUGUAAAGCACUUUUGUCCGGAAAGAAAUCCUUGGCUCUAAUACAGUCGGGGGAUGACGGUACCGGAAGAAUAAGCACCGGCUAACUACGUGCCAGCAGCCGCGGUAAUACGUAGGGUGCAAGCGUUAAUCGGAAUUACUGGGCGUAAAGCGUGCGCAGGCGGUUUGCUAAGACCGAUGUGAAAUCCCCGGGCUCAACCUGGGAACUGCAUUGGGUGACUGGCAGGCUAGAGUAUGGCAGAGGAGGGUAGAAUUCCACGUGUAGCAGUGAAAUGCGUAGAGAUGUGGAGGAAUACCGAUGGCGAAGGCAGCCCCCCUGGGGCCAAAUACUGACGCUCAUGCACGAAAGCGUGGGGAGCAAACAGGAUUAGAUACCCUGGUAGUCCACGCCCUAAACGAUGUCAACUAGUUGUUGGGGGAUUCAUUUCCUUAGUAACGUAGCUAACGCGUGAAGUUGACCGCCUGGGGAGUACGGUCGCAAGAUUAAAACUCAAAGGAAUUGACGGGGUCAUAGCUGUUU